rnacentral:rRNA from 1 species
GAUCUGGCUCAGGACGAACGCUGGCGGCGUGCCUAAUACAUGCAAGUAGAACGCUGAAGAGAGGAGCUUGCUCUUCUUGGAUGAGUUGCGAACGGGUGAGUAACGCGUAGGUAACCUGCCUUGUAGCGGGGGAUAACUAUUGGAAACGAUAGCUAAUACCGCAUAACAAUGGAUGACACAUGUCAUUUAUUUGAAAGGGGCAAUUGCUCCACUACAAGAUGGACCUGCGUUGUA